CUGUAAGCCUGCGAAGGUGGCCUGUGAGGGUUGCUGGAGGUAUCAGAAGUGCGAAUGCUGACAUAAGUAACGAUAAAGCGGGUGAAAAGCCCGCUCGCCGGAAGACCAAGGGUUCCUGUCCAACGUUAAUCGGGGCAGGGUGAGUCGACCCCUAAGGCGAGGCCGAAAGGCGUAGUCGAUGGGAAACGGGUUAAUAUUCCCGUACUUGGUGUUACUGCGAAGGGGGGACGGAGAAGGCUAUGUUGGCCGGGCGACGGUUGUCCCGGUUUAAGCGUGUAGGUGUGUGUUC
rnacentral:rRNA from 1 species